rnacentral:rRNA from 1 species
GACGAACGCUGGCGGCGUGCCUAAUACAUGCAAGUCGAGCGGAUCUUCCCUUCGGGGAAGGUUAGCGGCGGACGGGUGAGUAACACGUAGGCAACCUGCCUGCAAGACAGGGAUAACAUUCGGAAACGAAUGCUAAUACCGGAUACGAAGUUUCCCCGCAUGGGGGAACUGGGAAAGGCGGCGCAAGCUGUCACUUGCAGAUGGGCCUGCGGUGCAUUAGCUAGUUGGUGGGGUAACGGCUCACCAAGGCGACGAUGCAUAGCCGACCUGAGAGGGUGAUCGGCCACACUGGGACUGAGACACGGCCCAGACUCCUACGGGAGGCAGCAGUAGGGAAUCUUCCGCAAUGGACGCAAGUCUGACGGAGCAACGCCGCGUGAGUGAUGAAGGUUCUCGGAUCGUAAAGCUCUGUUGCCAGGGAAGAACAGCCAGGCGAGUAACUGCGCUUGGAAUGACGGUACCUGAGAAGAAAGCCCCGGCUAACUACGUGCCAGCAGCCGCCGUAACAC